UGGCGGCACGCUUAAUACAUGCAAGUCGAACGAGAAACUUGGUUCGCCAAGUGGACAGUGGCAGACGGUUGAGUAACGCGUGGGAAUCUACCUAGAGGUUCGGAAUAACUAUUGGAAACGAUAGCUAAUACCGGAUAAGCCCUUCGGGGGAAAGAUUUAUUGCCUUUAGAUGAGCCCGCGUCGGAUUAGCUAGUUGGUAAGGUAACGGCUUACCAAAGCUACGAUCCGUAGCUGAUCUGAGAGGAUGAUCAGCCAGAUUGGGAC
rnacentral:rRNA from 1 species